rnacentral:rRNA from 1 species
AGAGUUUGAUCCUGGCUCAGAAUGAACGUUGGCGGCGUGGAUUAGGCAUGCGAGUCGUGCGAGAACCGUAGCAAUACGGGGACAGCGGCGAAAGGGAGAGGAACACGUGGAUACCUACCCUCAGGUUCAGGAUAGCUAUGGGGAAACUAUAGGUAAUACUGAAUAAUAUCUCCGGAUCAAAGGUGUGAUUCCGCCGGAGGAGGGGUCCGCGUCCUAUUAGCUAGUUGGUGAGGUAAUGGCUCACCAAGGCGAAGAUGGGUACGGGAUGUGAGAACAUGAUCCCGCUCAUUGGGACUGAGACACUGCCCAGACACCUACGGGUGGCUGCAGUCGAGAAUCUUCGGCAAUGGGGGAAACCCUGACCGAGCGACGCCGCGUGUGAGAUGAAGGCCUUCGGGUUGUAAAUCACUGUCGUAGAGGAGGAAGUGUAGGUGGGUUCUCCCACUUAUUUGACCUAUUCUAGGAGGAAGGACGGGCUAAGUUCGUG